rnacentral:rRNA from 1 species
CGCGUAGGAACCUACCUAGUAGUUUGGGAUAGCCCAGAGAAAUUUGGAUUAAUACCGGAUACGCCCCACGGGGGAAAGCAGAGGAUCUUCGGACUUUGCGCUAUUAGAUGGGCCUGCGUGAGAUUAGCUAGUUGGUGGGGUAAUGGCCCACCAAGGCGACGAUCUCUAGCUGGUCUGAGAGGAUGAUCAGCCACACUGGAACUGAGACACGGUCCAGACUCCUACGGGAGCAGCAGUGGGAAUUUCCGCAAUGGGCGAAAGCCUGACGGAGCAACGCCGCGUGAGGGAUGAAGGCCUCUG